UACGGAGGGUGCUAGCGUUGUUCGGAAUCACUGGGCGUAAAGCGCGUGUAGGCGGCCCACUAAGUCUGAUGUGAAAGCCCGGGGCUCACCCCCGGAAGUGCAUUGGAAACUGGUGGACUCGAGUCCCGGAGAGGAGAGUGGAAUUCCUGGUGUAGCGGUGAAAUGCGUAGAUAUCAGGAGGAACACCGGUGGCGAAGGCAGCUCUCUGGACGGUGACUGACGCUGGGACGCGAAAGCGUGGGGAGCAAACAGG
rnacentral:rRNA from 1 species